AAAAAAAAAAAGGGGGGGGGGGAAGGAAGGGGCGGAGGCGGCGCAGGCAGCGACGAACAAAGCCCGCGACCGGCGCCAGUCCCCCUCUACACCCCCGUGUGGCCGCUAUGGGGAGGAGGGAGCGUGCCUGGGAGCCGCUGCUGCUAUGGCGGGGAAGGGAAGAGCUGAGGCAUUCAAAGAAAUAACCAAAGGAAUGAAUAUGAGCAGGUCAUGAGUUAAGAAAAUGCCUACCCUAACCUUGAUCCUCAAGGUUUCUGCCUGUAGGUGAGUGCAGCUGCCUUUUAAAAGGCCAUGAAAACUAUUGUUAAUCAGUCAUGUCUACGCACUUCCGUAACCAGACAGCGUUAAAUGUUAAUUCUUUUGUACUGUACAGCAUUUUCAAAACUUAGGAACCAACUUUGAGUAUUGAAGGUGUACAUUCCUUCAUGGGUCAUUCUUAUCCUUGGGAUGAUGCAAGUUUUUUUCAUCAUCUUUGAAUCAAAGCUUGCUGGUUGUUUUUGUUUGUUUGUUUUGCUCCACCUGAAAGCCUGGCACUGCCAUACUGACUAGCAAUCACUCAGAAGAUUUACAUGUCACAAGCUGUGACUUCUGCUGUACUGACCAACACUAUUCUCUCCUAUACACUUUGUCCUUGUUCAUAUUGCAUUGAAUUGUCCUAUGUAACGUACAGAGAUAUACUCUGGGACAAAGGUUUUGUUGCCAACACAUACGUUGUCCUGCAUGGCUGCUGUUUUUUAAGAAGUUACACUUUUUUUUUAAUCAGUUACAAAAAUCUUGGUGCAGAAAAAGAAAACAAAACCUAUGUUGUUCAGAUUAAUCUGAGCAAUUUAUGUUGUACAUAUAACUCUUGAAGAUGUUCUGAUCUGGAGCCUUAGCAGAAAGAAUAUCCUCUAGCCCUCUAAUCAGUUUCUACUUAAAGUAGGCUGACACGUACUUCUUUUCUAGCAAAAUCUCAAAACAAUGAGUAUCGCAGUCAUGGAAAUUUCAAUCCACAUGCUGGUCAUU